rnacentral:rRNA from 1 species
CCAAGAGUUCACAUCGACGGGGAGGUUGGCCACCCUCGAUGUCGGCUCGUCGCAUCCUGGGGCUGUAGUCGGUCCCAAGGGUUGGGCUGUUCGCCAUUAAAGCGGCACGCGAGCUGGGUUUCAGAACGUCGUGAGACAGUUCGGUCCCUAUCCGUCGCGGGCGUAGGAAAUUUGAGAGGAUCUGCUCCUAGUACGAGAGGACCAGAGUGGACUUACCGCUGGUGUACCAGUUGUCUUGCCAAAGGCAUCGCUGGGUAGCUAUGUAGGGAAGGGAUAAACGCUGAAAGCAUCUAAGUGUGAAACCCACCUCAAGAUGAGAUUUCCCAUGAUUAUAUAUCAGUAAGAGCCCUGAGAGAUGAUCAGGUAGAUAGGUUAGAAGUGGAAGUGUGGCGACACAUGUAGCGGACUAAUACUAAUAGCUCGAGGACUUAUCCAAA